rnacentral:rRNA from 1 species
GAUGAACGCUGGCGGCGUGCCUAAUACAUGCAAGUCGAGCGAACGGACGAGAAGCUUGCCUCUCUGAUGUUAGCGGCGGACGGGUGAGUAACACGUGGAUAACCUACCUAUAAGACUGGGAUAACUUCGGGAAACCGGAGCUAAUACCGGAUAAUAUUUUGAACCGCAUGGUUCAAAAGUGAAAGACGGUCUUGCUGUCACUUAUAGAUGGAUCCGCGCUGCAUUAGCUAGUUGGUAAGGUAACGGCUUACCAAGGCAACGAUGCAUAGCCGACCUGAGAGGGUGAUCGGCCACACUGGAACUGAGACACGGUCCAGACUCCUACGGGAGGCAGCAGUAGGGAAUCUUCCGCAAUGGGCGAAAGCCUGACGGAGCAACGCCGCGUGAGUGAUGAAGGUCUUCGGAUCGUAAAACUCUGUUAUUAGGGAAGAACAUAUGUGUAAGUAACUGUGCACAUCUUGACGGUACUUAAUCAGAAAGCCACGGCUAACUACGUG